rnacentral:rRNA from 1 species
CGUAGGGGGCUAGCGUUGUCCGGAUUUGUUGGGCGUAAAGAGCGCGUAGGCGGCUAGGUAAGUCCGACGUGAAAUCUGGAGGCUCAACCUCCAGCGGUCGUUGGAAACUACUUGGCUAGAGUCCGGAAGAGGAGAGUGGAAUUCCUGGUGUAGCGGUGAAAUGCGCAGAUAUCAGGAAGAACACCGAUGGCGAAAGCAGCUCUCUGGGACGGUACUGACGCUGAGGCGCGAAAGCGUGGGGAGCGAACAGGAUUAGAUACCCUGGUAGUCCACGCCGUAAACGAUGGGUGCUAGGUGUGAGCGGUGUCGACUCCGCUCGUGCCGAAGCUAACGCAUUAAGCACCCCGCCUGGGGAGUACGGCCGCAAGGCUA